UGGAUACACAGAAAACUGAGGAGCUGAAAUGUUGAGUGCUGGAGGCAACCUAGCGGCGGACGGGUGAGUAACGCGUGAGCAAUCUGCCUCAUACAGGGGGAUAACAGGUGGAAACACUUGCUAAUACCGCAUAAGACCACAGCGCUGCAUGGCGCAGGGGUCAAAGGAGUAAGAUCCGGUAUGAGAUGAGCUCGCGUCCCAUUAGCUAGUUGGUGAGGUAAGAGCUCACCAAGGCGAUGAUAGAUAGGCGGCCUUAACGGGUGGUCGCCCACACUGGGAUUGAGAUACGGCCCAGACUCCUACGGGAGGCAGCAGUCGAGAAUAGUCUACAAUGGCCGGAAGGCUGAUAGUGCGACGCCGCGUGAACGAGGGAGCCCUUCGGGGUGUAAAGUUCUUUUCUAUACGAGCAGUGCUAUAUAUAUGGAUAGUAUAUAUAGAGGGAUAGUAGUAUAGGAAUAAGCAACGGCUAACUCCGUG
rnacentral:rRNA from 1 species